rnacentral:lncRNA from 1 species
GAGAUGUUUCUUAGCAACAGGUGCAUCUCCGAGGAGACAGCGCUCAAGCACACGAUCGCGCAUGCACACCACACCUGACACCUCGAACCCGUGGUUGUUCAAGGGUCUAGACGUGUUCCGAGGAUUAGGGAGGCUUCCCACCUGCACCCCCCCCCCCCCCACCCCGCUGAGUGGAAACCUGUGGCGUUUUUCCAGCAAACCCGUCAGCGUCACGACUCCUCGAGGCCCGAGGAAGAACAGAUGGACUUGUUUGUGCGUUGACACUGGUCCUCAGAAGAAGCGUGUCCAAGCCACCGUGCGCCGCACCGACAGCUCGACAGGAUCCGUCACCCUGUGGGCUGGAAGCGCCACAAGGAGCUCAAACAUCAGCUUGAUGUGUGGAGACCACCGCUGUUCAUGAUCCGAGAUGUCACCACCACCAAGUGGAGACACCUUCUUGUUGCAGUCAGAAAAAUUCCAAACUGCAUCAUCUACUCAACUUACGGAAAUAACUGGGUCAGUAAGUAUGUAAGUCAAUUUGUUUGUGAUUCAAAGCCUCUUUUGCCCUUAAAUCACAAUCAAAAGCUUCAUAAUACAGAUGUCCAGAUCUGUAUUAUAGACCAUUGUAUUUUCAAGCUAAAUUCUGUUAAAAAAAAAAAAAAUACUCAGAUGAAGCUAUAAUACACAAUACUCUCUAAGGCUAUUUCCAACCAUCCAUGAUCAAUAAGCACUUGUUCAAAACAGCAGUGCAGGGGUCUGGAGCCUAUUCUGAAUACACAGGAUGCGAGAGUGGGCACACCCUUGAUGGAUAGGAAUUAUUUUUAAUUAACUUCAAACAACAUUUAAAACUGUUGCCAUUAAUAAACUGUAAAGAUUAAAUAAUAAUGAAGUAAAA